rnacentral:tRNA from 1 species
AAUAAUGUGCCUGAUUAAAGGGUUAUCGUGAUAGGAUAAAUAAAGUAAAAAAUUACCAUUAUUA